rnacentral:lncRNA from 1 species
AAUAUCUCUCUUUUGGAUUUCAAAAAUUCCAUUUAAUUGUUAAUGAAUUUUCUCCUCAAAUCUAACGCCUCUUACCCCACCCCUCUCUCUCUUCGUAUCUGUUACAGUUCACAUGGCUUCCCUGCCAUCUUUCCUCUUCCGAGCAUAAUGGCACAAUGACUCUCACAAAAUUAGGCAAAGAUCUCGCUGUUUUCGGGAAGAAUACAAGGCAAAUCUUUUUUGAAUCUUGCCUCUCUGAUUCUUCCUCUUUUCUUUUGCCUCUACCAACGUUCAAAUUUCAAAAGGGUUAGAGGUAAAAUCCCGCCCAAAGAGCCAUAUGUUUCUUUUAUAAAUACUUGCAAUAGGGAAAUAUUGGGGGGACUUCUGGAUGCUAUCUUCUCCUCACUAAAAUUCACUCUUUCCUAUUAGCUAUCUCCUUAAGUAAAAGCUUUAACUUUAACACCUCUACUAUUUCUAUUUGGUAUUUACAUAGCAGAAAUUUUGGUUAUCCUUUAUUUAUUUUAGUUGAGUCUUCUUUUGUCCGAGAGGAAGGAGUAAGGUCGAGAUCGAAGUUCGAUAGCACAUCUAAGACCCGCCUCAGUUCGCUGCCCUGCAAAAGGUUUGUAUCUUCCCCUCUCGCUCUCAUUUUGAUUUUGAUUAGGGUACGUUUGAUGCCUGGUGUGUAUUUGCUGGAGGACUGUUAGUUUCUAUUAAGCUUUUAUAUUUGGUGCUAUAAAAAUAGCUCUAAUAAAUGUUUGUUUAAGGUAAUGAUCUAUGACUAAAGUUGUUAGCAAUAAUCCUUUAAGGAGAUCAUGUUCUGGUAUGUAGUGUUAGAAGUAUGCUUGACUGAUAUUUGAUGAAAUGCUCACAUGAAAAUACCUAUCUCCUUUUGAAUACUUUUCUAUUAGAUGCCAUGAUUUUAAGAAGGAUUUUUUCCAUGAGCUAGUCGCCUUGCAAAAGAUUAAUUUGCUAUUGUGAUUUAGCACCUUUGCGCCUAAACAUCAUGCUUAGGAUUCCGAACAACUUGUUUAAGAAUAGAUUUAUCUAAAUGCAUACUGUUAAGCUAGGACUUGAUAUGCUUUAGCCAAAGUUAUGAACUUAUUGCUAUUAGUUAUCCAAAAUUCUUUUCUUUAGGAAACAAAUAUGGCUGAAAUUUCAUAAAAUAAUAUGACACUAUGACCUCUUUUCAUAUCUUGAUCUUGAUACAUUGUUAAAAAUCAAGUUCCACUUAGUAAUCCUUCUUAUCCUUGCAUAUAUUAAUUAAACUCUUAAGUUAUUUUGCUAACGGUUUAUUUUUCUCUUUCUUUAUAUGUACACUUUGGAGCACAUGGAGUCUUAAUUCGAGACCCUUGCAAUGGAGUCUCAAAAUGAGACUUGACGCCACUAUCCGAGCACGGAGUCAUCACAUACCAUAUUCCUUAGAUGCACCAAAUAGCAAGAAAACAAGCGAAACGCUUGGGGGCGCCUAUGGCGUUCUUCUUCUUUUAAUUCUUUUCCCAUUCGUUUUAUCUAACUUUUGUGAUUGUUAAUUUGCCUGUGCAUUUGGGGUUUAUCUCAAGUUUAAAUUUAAUUAUUUAGGCUUUUUGCUAUAUCACAGAGGAUAUGGUAAUUAGAAUAAGGUCUAAAAUCGGUAAUCUAAUAACUUUUUUUAUUUGCCACUAGUGUAUUCAAUUUUUAGUAAGCUUAAUAUUAUACUUCAGACACUUCUUUUUAUAUAAAAAGUCAAACAGAUUUCAAA